AGGUGGGGUGCUCCAACAAGCUCUUUCUCAUGGGGUCCCCCACAGAUCCAUACAAACAGGCCGACCAUCAGGGCUGGUCCCAGGCCACCAGGCCGGGUGCAAUGCAGAAAUGGAGAUCUGCCCCGGGGAAGGCAGGGGGAAAACUGGAGGAGAAGAAACUGUAAUUCCAGUCCGUCCACAUGGCCCAGCAGUGAACGACAAUUGCAUGGUCAGAGAGAGCAAAAGCACCAAGCCGACUGAAAGCAGCUCGAAUGCGGUGGGGCAGUGGGAGAUAAUGCCUCAUCUACCAAAACAAGGUCUGCCACCUUCACAGACCACUAAACCUCAUUCCUCCACCCACCUCCCCACCCCCACGAAGGCCAACUGACCAGAGAGCAGGGCUCCCGAGGGUCGGGUCAGGUCGGGUCGGGUCGGGUCGGGUGGGUGCCUCUUACCCUAACUGAGGCUCUGCCCUGGACUCGGAGUCCACUUGCUGUCAAAGCAUGCCACUCUUCUUUCUGAUACUUGACAUAUUUCUUUUCCCGUUCAAUUCAUGGUUUCCGCCCAAACGGAGCCACGCAAGGACGUCUUUGGGGAUGUGUCUCCAAGAAAAGUGUGGGCUGCCUUCCUCACCCUGGAUGCCUGUGGGCUGCCUUCCUCACCCUGGAUGCCUGUGGGCUGCCUUCCUCACCCUGGAUGCCUGUGGGCAGCCUUCCUCACCCUGGAUGCCUGUGGGCAGCCUUCCUCACCCUGGAUGCCUUUGGGCUGCCUUCCUCACCCUGGAUGCCUGUGGGCUGCCUUCCUCACCCUGGAUGCCUGUGGGCUGCCUUCCUCACCCUGGAUGCCUGUGGGCUGCCUUCCUCACCCUGGAUGCCUGUGGGCAGCCUUCCUCACCCUGGAUGCCUGUGACUUGGUUUCCAUGGGGGCUUCCUAAGCUCAGGGACCCCAAGCCUCCAUCAAAUCUAAUGACCCGCCCUGUCUCUGAACACACCUGUGUUGUCCCCGAGCCCCUCACCAACCCCCUCUGCAACCCCGCCCACGCAUUUCCCAUCCUGAAGGGUCCAGCUCAUAGGCCGGCCCAUGUGUUCCCUUUACCCCUGCUUUGUCCCUACCUGGUGGGGAGCUGUCCCUUCUGGGCCCUAGUGUGGCACUUCACACACAAAUGUGUCCUGUGGGUGGUAUCUGGGGCCUCCCCCUGCAGUGAGGGGAUGACCAAUGUGCAGAGCUCACUGGGCCUGGGUAUGGGCUCGGGUGGCACAGAACAGAAAGUGCUCCAUAAAAGUGAGCUGCGAUGCGGAGGUGGGCAAGCUCUUCCCUGGAGGGGGAAGAGCUCUCAACCCAGAGGGAUCUGACCAGGAAGGUUCACCCCGCCUCCACCCAGGAAGCCCCUGCAGACAGUAUGUGUUUUAGGCUUUGCUGGCCAAAUGGUCUCUGCCGUGACUACUCAGCUCUGCCAUUGUGGCAGCAGAGUGACCAUAGACCUUCUGAAAGUGAAUGAGUAUGA
rnacentral:lncRNA from 1 species